rnacentral:rRNA from 1 species
UACGGAGGGUGCGAGCGUUAUCCGGAAUCACUGGGUUUAAAGGGUGCGUAGGCGGUUUAAUAAGUCAGUUGUGAAAUCGCUGGGCUUAACCCAUGCAAUUGCGAUUGAUACUGUUUAACUUGAAUCAGGUUGAGGUCGGCGGAAUGUGGCAUGUAGCGGUGAAAUGCUUAGAUAUGCCAUAGAACACCGAUUGCGAAGGCAGCUGGCUAGGCCUGGAUUGACGCUGAGGCACGAAAGCGUGGGGAGCAAACAGG